AUAUUUAAUAUUAGGUUAAAUUUUUUUAUUUGUAUUUUGGGUGAUWAAAUGUAUGUAAGAUAUAUUUUGGUGACAGGGAUUAGAUACCCCAUUAAUAUAUUUUGUAUUUAUUAUCUUAGUUUUAUAACUAAAAUGGUUUGGCAGUGAGUGAUUCUUUUUAGGGGAAGGUGUGGUGUAAAGGAUGUUCCGCCUAUUAUUUUACUUUUAUUAUGUUGGUGUAUAUCUGAUUUAAUAUUAUUGCUUAAUGGUUUAAGUUUGUGUAUGUUUAUUUAAGUCAAGUCUAUGUGCUGCUUAUAAAAGUAUUCAUGCGUUACUUUAAUAAUAUGUUGGUUGAAAUAUUAAUUAAUUUAGGACUUAAUAGUAAUAUUUAAUUAAUUUGUAGAUGUGAAUAUAGUUUAGCUCAUGUACACACCGCCCCGUCACCCU
rnacentral:rRNA from 1 species